rnacentral:misc_RNA from 1 species
UCCCGGUUGGCCCGGGCAGUCUCGCAUGAAAAAUACAACAUACGAUAAGGGUUGCGCUCGUUGCGGGACUUAACCCAACAUUUCACAACACGAGCUGACGACGGCCAUGCAGCACCUGUCACUUGGCUCCUUGCGGCACCCCUCUGUUUCCAGUGGGUUCCAAGGAUGUCAAGCCUGGGUAAGGUUCUACGCGUAGCGUCAUAUUAAACCACAUCAUCCUCUGCUUGUGCGGGUCCCCGUCAAUUCCUUUGAGUUUUAGCCUUGCGGCCGUACUUCCCAGGCGGCGUACUUAUCGCGUUAGCUGGGCCCCUGAUCCACGUAGACCAAGGGCGAACACUCACCGUUUACGGCAUGGACUAC